AAUAGCAAUAAAAUUUCACACAACUCAACUAUGUCUAGAUGAUAGAUGCAAGUGGCAUCUUCUUGAUGUGGCUGAACAUGCUGAUGCGCUCCUAGAUGGUGUGCCUUAUACCUAGGAUCUUAUGUGAUGUGUGUCACAAUCUGUCAAAGAUGUGGCAGCCUGGCAGGUGCAGCUGACAAGAAAAACAACCCUUACACUGUACAAAUUUCAGCUUCACAUUAGGUAUACAUGCUGAAUUUGAGUCUAUGAUAAAUUGUCGCUGAGUCUGUAUUGUCUAUCAUCUGAUUGUUCCAAGUUGUGAUUUGGCGUUGAUUGUUGUGUGAUUUAGUUUUCAUGAAUGUUGCUUCCAGGUGCCACAAACCAUUGAUAUUUGUUUGCUUCAUAUUAUCUACAUAUCUGAGGAUUGUGUUCCUCACUUUUGUUGUGGUA